UACGAAGGGGGCUAGCGUUGUUCGGAAUUACUGGGCGUAAAGCGCGCGCAGGCGGUUCUCCAAGUCAGUGGUGAAAGCCCGGAGCUCAACUCCGGAAUUGCCAUUGAAACUGUCGAACUUGAGGAUGAGAGAGGUGAGUGGAAUUCCCAGUGUAGAGGUGAAAUUCGUAGAUAUUGGGAAGAACACCGGUGGCGAAGGCGGCUCACUGGCUCAUUACUGACGCUCAGGCGCGAUAGCGUGGGGAUCAAACAGG
rnacentral:rRNA from 1 species